UUUUUUGAGAGUUUGAUCCUAGCUCAGGAUGAACGCUCGCUGUGUGCCUAAUACAUGCAUGUUGAACGGGAUGUAGCAAUACAUUCAGUAGCGAAUGGGUGAGUAACACGUACCUAACCUACCUUUAAGACUGGGAUAACUAUUGGAAACAAUAGCUAAUACCGGAUAUAGUUAUUUAUCGCAUGAUGAGUAAUAGAAAGGAGCUUCACAGCUUCACUUAAAAAUGGGGGUGCGGAACAUUAGUUAGUUGGUAGGGUAAUGGCCUACCAAGACGAUGAUGUUUAGCCGGGCCGAGAGGCUGUACGGCCACACUGGGACUGAGAUACGGCCCAGACUCCUACGGGAGGCAGCAGUAAGGAAUUUUCCACAAUGAGCGAAAGCUUGAUGGAGCGACACAGCGUGCAGGAUGAAGUUCUUCGGAAUGUAAACUGCUGUUAUAAGGGAAGAAAAAAUAGAAUAGGAAAUGAUUUUAUCUUGACGGUACCUUAUUAGAAAGCGACGGCAAACUAUGUGCCAGCAGCCGCGGUAAUACAUAGGUCGCAAGCGUUAUCCGGAAUUAUUGGGCGUAAAGCGUCCGUAGGUUUUUUGCUAAGUCUGGAGUUAAAUGCUGAAGCUCAACUUCAGUCCGCUUUGGAUACUGGCAAAAUAGAAUUAUAAAGAGGUUAGCGGAAUUCCUAGUGAAGCGGUGGAAUGCGUAGAUAUUAGGAAGAACACCAAUAGGCGAAGGCAGCUAACUGGUUAUAUAUUGACACUAAGGGACGAAAGCGUGGGGAGCAAACAGGAUUAGAUACCCUGGUAGUCCACGCCGUAAACGAUGAUCAUUAGUUGGUGGAAUAAUUUCACUAACGCAGCUAACGCGUUAAAUGAUCCGCCUGAGUAGUAUGCUCGCAAGAGUGAAACUUAAAGGAAUUGACGGGAAC
rnacentral:rRNA from 1 species